GAUGAAGAACGUAGCGAAAUGCGAUAAGUAAUGUGAAUUGCAGAAUUCAGUGAAUCAUCGAAUCUUUGAACGCACAUUGCGCCCGCCAGCACUCUGGCGGGCAUGCCUGUUCGAGCGUCAUUUCAACCAUCAAGCCCCCAGGGGCUUGUGCUGGGGCCCUGCGGCUGCCCGCAGGCCCUGAAAACCAGUGGCGGGCUCGCUAGUCACACCGAGCGCAGUAGCACAUCUCGCUCAGGGCGUGCGGCGGGCUCCUGCCGUGAAACCCCCCACUGUAACCCCAAAGGUUGACCUCGGAUCAGGUAGGAAUACCCGCUGAACUUAAGCAUAUCCAUAAGCGGAGGA
rnacentral:misc_RNA from 1 species